GACAGAAGCUCCCCCUGAGAUAAUGCUAGGGAGUUCAAAAGUUCUUACCAGAGUUUCUUAAGUACAGAGGUUUCUGAAACUUUCUGCAAUUUCUUAAGUCCAAGUUAGAUAAUUUUUGUUUAUAAAAAAAAAUGUUGCAGAAUGCUUAAGGUUUUAGACAAUAUUUUCAUCAGAGUUAAUAAUUACUUCUCCCCCUUUUUGUCAGAAUCAA
rnacentral:lncRNA from 1 species